ensembl:lncRNA
AUGAAUACUUUGGAGCGAAAGUUGGACAAACGUUCGAAGAAAGAUUCCGAAGACAACGCCAUUGUGGGAAAGAGAAUCCGUGUUGCCAAACGUCUGUGGGAGGAUGAGGAUGAGGAUGACCCCCCUACUGCCGUGGCCACAGUCAGUGGAACCAAAGCUGCCAUUCACAAUCAAGGGGCUGAAAUCCUAGCUUCCAUUUCCUUGGAAGAACAAGCAGAAAAUAGUGACAACGAGCUCUCACUUGUGCGUCAAGAAUUGCUAGAAAUAAAAAAAUUCAUCUUUACAGAGAUACCUCAGAUAAAAGAAAUGCUCAACAGAAGCUCCAUGCACCUCGGCAGUCCAGGGUCUCUCCCCAGCCCUUCAAACCCUGUUCAAAUAGUGAGUACUUUUUUAUGCAGUGCUGUUGGAACGUAUGUGAACUGCUUGCAAUCACCUUGUCUUCUAUAUCAGGGUAGCCGCGGGGUCUUAAAAGUCUUAAAAAGGUCUUAAAUGACAUGUUCCUAAAUUAAGGCCUUAAAAAGUCUUAAAUUCCGUUGUCCAAGUCUUUAAUUUUUUAAACGAAGGUCUUAAAUUUCAUUAUACUAGCCUAUUUAUUCAAAGUCAACCAGACUGCAACGCAAGGUGAAAUGGGGGAAACAACAACAACGUGAAAAUUCAACAGGGUUUAGCGUAACGUCAGAGAACGUCUAAUUUCUAGUAUGCGCAAACAAUAGUUUGGGUUUUCGCUAGGGCUGCACGGUUUCAAGUUUUUCAUUAACCGUUAACCGAGGCCCUUAGCGGUUAAUACUCGGUUAACCAUAGUGUGCGCGCCGCAACCCCGGACAUGUCCCCACCACUAUUUUCUAAGGUAGAUUUUGUUCCCACCACUUUUGAAACAUCUCGCGGCACGAAUACCAAUACAAAUAAACAAAACAUCUCCAGUUAACUAGCA